UACAGGGGGGGCAAGCGUUGUUCGGAAUUACUGGGCGUAAAGGGCUCGUAGGCGGCCAACUAAGUCCGACGUGAAAUCCCAAAGCUUAACUUUGGAACUGCGUCGGAUACUGGAUGGCUUGAAUUCGGGAGAGGGAUGCAGAAUUCCAGGUGUAGCGGUGAAAUGCGUAGAUAUCUGGAGGAACACCGGUGGCGAAGGCGGCAUCCUGGACCGACAUUGACGCUGAGGAGCGAAAGCUAGGGGAGCAAACGGG
rnacentral:rRNA from 1 species